rnacentral:rRNA from 1 species
AGCAGCCGCGGUAAUUCCAGCUCCAAUAGCGUAUAUUAAAGUUGUUGCAGUUAAAAAGCUCGUAGUUGAAUUUUAGAUCUGGCCGGACGGUCCGUCUCUGGCGAGUACUGUUCUGUCGUCGGGUCUAUCCUUCUGGUGAGUCGGUAUGUUCUUAAUUGGGCGUGUCGGUAAGCCAGGACCAUUACCUUGAAAAAAUUAGAGUGUUUAAAGCAGGCUUUUGUUUGAAUAGAUUAGCAUGGAAUAAUAGAAUAGGACGUUGUGGUUCUAUUUUGUUGGUUCAAGGACCACCGUAAUGAUUAAUAGGGAUAGUUGGGGGCAUUAGUAUUCAAUUGUCAGAGGUGAAAUUCUUGGAUUUAUUGAAGACUAACUACUGCGAAAGCAUUUGCCAAGGAUGUUUUCAUUAAUCAAGAACGAAAGUUAGGGGAUCGAAGACGAUCAGAUACCGUCGUAGUCUUAACCAUAAACUAUGCCGACUAGGAAUCGGGCGACGUUAUUUUCACGACUCGCUCGGCGCCUUAUG